rnacentral:lncRNA from 1 species
CCGGUGAAAUCGGCACCUGACAAAGGCACGUCUCUGAAUGAUCGAACCCGUCGAUUGACGGAAGAACGGUUAAUGCAGCCGCUGGCACAGCCGCCACGCAAUUCCACGCGUGACCAAGAUUAUUUUUUUUUGCGUUAAUAAAGGGUAUACAUUACCCUCUUCGGUUAUAAACAGUACACAAAAUGCCUGUACGUGGAUUUGUCAGUUUGGACUGUUGAAGGUUUUAACAACUUUUUUUUUCUUGUUUCCAGAAAUCCGGGAAAUAAUGAGAUUACAUCAAUAGAACAAAAUGCGUUUGAAAGAUUAACAUCUCUCUAAAGACAUUGUUAAAUUGAUACUAUAUUUGGUUGAGGCUCGUUAAUAAAUGUUGGACGACCUUUAAAAUCCAACAUCAAACAUCAACAUCUAGACAUUACAACAUGCCAUGGACAAAGACAGUGUUUCGACAAUUCGAACCGGAAUAUUUACAGUUGAACAUUAUGUUUAUACCUUUCAGACUAAUCACUUUUACAUUUGUUUCCAGUUAAUGAUUUAUUUGUGACUUUAUCAGAAUACACAAUUGUACAUUGAUACUA